rnacentral:snoRNA from 1 species
GUAUCAAUGACGAGAACAAUUGUCUGAGGAUGCAGAAUGACUCAUGUCAAUAGAAAUAUGGGGUCC